AUAUCCCGAAGGCGAUGGUUGUGCUUGCUUGUCUUGCGCUCUCACUGCUCUGACGGAUGCUUUUAUUAGACCAAACCGCUGAGGACUUGGGGGUUCGCUCUCUUGUUUGACUCGUGUAAUGGUGACUCUGGAUAACCAAAAUUAUGACAAGCGCACGUACUUCUCUUCUGAGCGAGACGGCGCUGCCACUUUCGAGUGUCUGCCUUAUCAGCUAUCAACCGUUCGUUAUGCGCGACCGAUGGCUUUGACGGGUAACGGGGAAUCAGGGUUCGAUUCCGGAGAGGCAGCCUGAGAGACGGCUACCACGUCCAAGGACGGCAGCAGGCACGCAAAUUACCCAAUCCCAGCAAAUGGGGGAGGUAGUGACGAAAUCUAACGAUGCGGGCGCCCUUUCUGGGGCCCCGCAAUCGGAAUGGGCACUUUCUAAACAACCUGUUGAGAACCUACUGAAGGGCAAGUCUGGUGCCAGCAGCCGCGGUAAUUCCAGCUUCAGCAGCAUCUAUUAAAGUUGCUGCGGUUAAAAGGCUCGCAGUUGAAUGUCUGUAUCGAGCGCAGGUCAGGUGGACGUUGGGGCGUGGAAGUACGGGCAGUUGGAUGUUCGGGGGGCCUUCGUGCUCAACGGCUCCUUCGGCUUUUCCACA
rnacentral:rRNA from 1 species